rfam:Gossypium raimondii Chr08_contig_1051, whole genome shotgun sequence.
UGUUAAAAAUUUCAUCCAUUUCUACUGUUAAAAAUUGGUGUGACUAACGAAAUAACUAAAUAGUGACACGUGGCAUGCCAUGUGUACCUCAUGUUGAUGUAUAUAGACAAGUUUUUAACAAUAAAAAUGGAUGCAAUUUUUAAUA